UACGGAGGGUGCAAGCGUUGUUCGGAAUCAUUGGGCGUAAAGCGUACGUAGGCGGUCUAACAAGUCUGGUGUGAAAGCCCGGGGCUCAACCUCGGAAUGCCACUGGAAACUGUUAGACUUGAGAGUGCGAGGGGAUAGUGGAAUUCCUGGUGUAGGAGUGAAAUCCGUAGAGAUCAGGAGGAACACCGGUGGCGAAGGCGACUGUCUGGAGCACAUCUGACGCUGAGGUACGAAAGCGUGGGGAGCAAACAGG
rnacentral:rRNA from 1 species